GCUAACUAGCGAGCAAGUAGCCAACGAUAACAUGAUAGUAAAUUGUGUUCGAUGUCCGAAUUAAUGGACAAUUAUAUUGUGGUGUGCGGAACAGACCAAUGUUCUUACAUUUGUCAUAAUGCCGAUGCCCACAUUUUGCUAUACAAGCGAGCGUGCUCAGAAACGUUAGUCGAUGCAAUGACGCAGUGAUAGCUGGCUAGUCAGGGGCCAUUAGCACUCAUAAAUGGCGCCGUUGUGGUUGUUGGACAAUGCUGAACAAAGGGAGUUUCGCAUCUCGGCCUGGGACAUGAGGGGGCGGGGAAGACUAUGUCGCUUACUGAUUUGUACUAAAAACGGAACUGAAUCGCACGCACUUAUCUGCUUGUGGAGCGAGGACCGCUUUUUGUUGCGAAAACGCAAAUUUCAUUGGCUAGUGGUGAAAAGGAAGGAUGUCUGACGAAGGGAAGCUUUUUGUGGGUGGCCUCAGCUUUGACACUAAUGAACAGUCAUUAGAAGAUGUAUUCUCCAAAUAUGGGCAAAUAUCUGAAGUUGUUGUAAUUAAAGACAGAGAAACUCAGAGGUCCAGGGGCUUUGGUUUCGUCACCUUCGAGAACCCAGAUGAGGCAAAGGAUGCUAUGCUGGCCAUGAACGGCAAGUCUCUUGAUGGCAGACAGAUCCGUGUCGACCAGGCGGGCAAAUCUGGCGGUGGUGGCAGGUCCGGAGGUGGAUUCCGAGGGGGCUCUUCAGGCGGCAGAGGAGGUGGAGGAGGAUACUUCCGUGGAGGCAGAGGUGGUGGUGGUGGAAGAGGUGGGCGUGGCUUCUCACGAGGUGGUGGAGACCGGGGAUAUGGUGGUGGACGUUACGACAGCAGAAGUGGAGGCUCAUACGGAUCAGAAAGAGGCUACUACAACAAAGACAGAGCACAAGGAGGAGGAUAUGGAGAUCGUUCAGGAGGUUCGUACAGAGACAGCUACGAUAGCUAUGGCGGUGCUGUUGUCAGUGGCGCACAGUGAGGCUGACUCCUGUAGUUGAAAUAUGUUGAAGGCCCAGUUUAGCACUGCAGAAAGCCAAGGUGACGAGGGUGGCUGGUAGGACAGUGGCGUCCGGAUGCCUGUCGUCUGGGCACGGCCCCUCACCCCGAACCAGCGGCCCCAUCCCGAUGACGGCGGGCCUGGCCUGGUCCUAGCCC